rnacentral:rRNA from 1 species
GACGAACGCUGGCGGCGUGCCUAAUACAUGCAAGUCGAACGCAGUGGGGACGGGUGAGUAACACGUGGGUAACCUCCCAUCAGAGGGGAUAACACUUGGAAACAGGUGCUAAACCGAUGUGGGUGGAUGGACCCGCGGGGCAUUAGCUAGUUGGUGGGGUAACGGCUCACCAAGGCCACGAGGCAUAGCCGGCCUGAGAGGGUGAUCGGCCACACUGGGACUGAGACACGGCCCAGAUGCCUACGGUAGGCAGCAGUAGGGAAUCUGCGGCAAUGGACGAAAGUCUGACCGAGCAACGCCGCGUGAGUGAAGAAGGUUUUAGGAUCUUAAAACUCUGUUGUUAGAGAAGCGGUAUCUAACCAGAAAGCACCGGCUAACUACGUGCCAGCAGCCGCGGUAAUAC